UACGAAGGGGGCUAGCGUUGUUCGGAAUUACUGGGCGUAAAGCGCGCCCAGGCGGUCCUUUAAGUCAGGGGUGAAAGCCCAGAGCUCAACUCUGGAACUGCCUUUGAAACUAGAGGACUUGGGUACGGGAGAGGUGAGUGGAAUUCCGAGUGUAGAGGUGAAAUUCGUAGAUAUUCGGAAGAACACCAGUGGCGAAGGCGGCUCACUGGCCCGUUACCGACGCUCAGGCGCGACAGCGUGGGGAGCAAACAGG
rnacentral:rRNA from 1 species